UUAACUAAAGCACCACAAAUAAUGUACAGCAGCAAACCAACCUGCAAGAGGCAAAACAACUCGGAGUCCUUCUUCAAAACAAACCGUGGAGCAGGGACGAAGCAGCACGCAGCAGUCAGUACAGAGACCAGCAUUGACCAUCAGCCUGAGGCUCUACAGAUAUUCAGCUCUCAAUGGAUUGCACAGCCGACUUUGCUCUACAGAUUUGACACAACGGGAAG